AAUAGAUACCCGGGUAGUCCACGCCGUAAACGAUGAGUGCUAAGUGUUAGGGGGUUUCCGCCCCUUAGUGCUGCAGCUAACGCAUUAAGCACUCCGCCUGGGGAGUACGGUCGCAAGACUGAAACUCAAAGGAAUUGACGGGGGCCCGCACAAGCGGUGGAGCAUGUGGUUUAAUUCGAAGCAACGCGAAGAACCUUACCAGGUCUUGACAUCCCGCUGACCGCUAUGGAGACAUAGCUUUCCCUUCGGGGACAGCGGUGACAGGUGGUGCAUGGUUGUCGUCAGCUCGUGUCGUGAGAUGUUGGGUUAAGUCCCGCAACGAGCGCAACCCUUGUCCUUAGUUGCCAUCAUUCAGUUGGGCACUCUAAGGAGACUGCCGUACAAAUACGGAGGAAGGUGGGGAUGACGUCAAAUCAUCAUGCCCCUUAUGACCUGGGCUACACACGUGCUACAAUGGACGGUACAAACGGUUGCGAAGUCGCGAGACGGAGCCAAUCCGAGAAAGCCGUUCUCAGUUCGGAUUGCAGGCUGCAACG
rnacentral:rRNA from 1 species